GACGUAGGGGGCAAGCGUUGUCCGGAUUUACUGGGCGUAAAGAGCGUGUAGGCGGCCACGCAGGUCCGUUGUGAAAACUAGAGGCUUAACCUCUAGACGUCGAUGGAAACUGUUUGGCUAGAGUCCGGAAGAGGAGAAUGGAAUUCCUGGUGUAGCGGUGAAAUGCGCAGAUAUCAGGAAGAACACCCGUGGCUAAGGCGGUUCUCUAGUACGGUACUGACGCUGAGACGCGAAAGCGUGGGGAGCGAACAGG
rnacentral:rRNA from 1 species